UACGGAGGGGGCGAGCGUUGUCCGAAGUUACUGGGCGUAAAGCGCGCGUAGGCGGGUUGGUAAGUCCGCUGUGAAAGCCCGGGGCUUAACCCCGGAGGGUCGGUGGAUACUGCCAGUCUUGAAGGUGCUAGGGAGAGAUGGAAUUACCGGUGUAGCGGUGAAAUGCGUAGAUAUCGGUAGGAACACCGGUGGCGAAAGCGCUUUGCUAGGCCGCAACUGACACUGAGGGACGAAAGCUAGGGGAGCGAAUGGG
rnacentral:rRNA from 1 species